AUCGCUUCUCGGCCUUUUGGCUAAGAUCAAAGUGUAGUAUCUGUUCUUAUCAGCUUAAUAUCACGUAACAGCGUUGUCCACAUAGAUUAAAAGACAGGGCGGCGGUUCGCUUAAAUAUAUGUUCUGAUUUACGCUUUUUCAAGCAAAAACAGUUGAAGAGAUUUUUUUGUUUUUGAUUUCAAGCAAAUUACACAUU